ensembl:lncRNA
CUGAUACGCGUCUGUUCAACUGUAAAAAUCCUUUUUAAACACACAGCAGCAGUUUAUUCCACUGUUAUGCAAGUUAAACAUUCACAAGUCGCGUGUGGAAGUGGAACUCACAGAAACGUGUCUAUUUUCUGACUGAUGCUUCCUUGUCGGAGGCCUCAUGUUUCUCUACAUACAAACCCAUAAAUGUGUGUGGAUACACAGCGUGCCUGAUGCACACAACGCAAACUUAAAAUCCAAUUUGAUUAUUUUAGAAGUUCCGUGGAUCAGGGAGGUCAGGGGAAUGUUUUGAGAAAAUGGGUUUAUGUAAAGGGGCAGAAAGAUAGAAAGCAACCAGACUGAGAAAGACAGACACAGUGUAUUUACUGCAAAAUACAGGCAUUGAAGUCCCAGAUCCUGCAUUUCGUUUUUGUGAGCUAUUCCUUUAUGUCUUCAACUUAAAUCUUCUCUCACUCCAGCUUUCAUCCAUCUCACCAUCCUUUUACAAUUUCAGAAUUUAUGCCACAGCCCAUUUAUGUUAUUGCAGUUAGACAGUUUUUGCCUCAUUUCCCACAGUUCUUUUGUCCUUGGAUUGACUCUCUUGUUACACACAAGUGCAAGAUGGAAAACAGGAAGUAAGGAUUGGCCCAUAUAGGCAGUCUCCACAGUGUGGACUCUCUUAUUGCCCUGAUAGAAACAGUACUAUGACUGGCCCAAAUUUCUCCACACAGACUUAAACAUCACAGCAUAGAACAUUAACAGUGUCAUGUCCUCCUAACAGCUGGGGUGUAACUGUGAAUACAUUUCUGCUUUCUGUCAAACUUGGUGUAUUUUUUUUGAAAAAUACUCUGUCACCACAAAGCAACUGUAUGUGAGCGUAACACACAGCUUAGUUCUGUAAACUACUUUUACUUCUGUAUUUAUUCGCGGCUUUUUGUAAAACCAUGCACUGGUCAAUCCGAAACUGUACCGAAGGAAUAUGCUGCAUUUCUGCUUGAAAUAUAUGUAUACAAAUAUACAUAUAUAUUAUUUAAAAGGUUUGUUAAACCAACUAAGGGAAAAGCCAGUUUCAAUAUCAUUGAUACAUCUGUGUGUUAACUCAAAGUUCACAUUAUGAGUUAGCUGAAGGUCACAUUACAGUAAUGCUCUUGCUGAAGCACAGUUUCAACCGCUCUUCCGAUCUCACCCUUAUUCUCUUUCUUUCACUUUAAGAUACGCCCAUAUACGUUCACAUGAGCACACACGCACGUACACCCUUCUUUCUGAGCUUGUUUUCAUGGUCUGUGACCAAAUCCCGAAUGAACGUUUAAUUAUGCGAUCAGCGUUAACAGUAGCUUUUCAGUGAGGAAUGUGGCACCAAAAUAAAGGGAGUGACAAAGAGAGUUGCAGUCCAGUUAGAUCUGGUUGCAACAGAGAGAAGAUUCAUAUGUUGUAAAUUCUCUCGGUUUGAGGUCUGCAGUGGUUUAUAUUUAUUAUAUUAUAUUUAGGCCUCAGAAUCAGUUAAAUGCCACUUUUUGUACCUUUACCUUGAUCUAUACUGUAUAUCUUCUGUUCUCUAACUCUCUGUUUCAUUGUUUGAUAACACACACAGCAAACUGAUAGAAAUAGACAGGAACCGAGAAAUAUUUUCACUACUGCUUUUGUGUGACUGACAUCCAAGUGGGUGAGAGCAAGGAUGAGAGCGUAAAUGGGAACAAUUGUUUGUGUUUGUGUGGUUAUGUACAUCAGUGUGUGUUAGUGUGUCAGUGUGUGUCAGUGUGUGUGUGUGUGUGUGUGUGUGUGUGUGUGUGUGUGUGUGUGUGUGUGUGUGUGUGUGUGUGUGUGUGUGUUUGUGUGUGUGUGUGUGUGUGUGUGUGUGUGUGAGCGAGAGUCCCAGAGUGCGAGACAGAGAUAAAAAGAAAGAAUGGAGAGGGAUAUCAAAAGAUAUGUUGGUGUGUAUAUGCUGAACCAUUUGGCCUCACUGACCAGAUGAGGCGUGUUGCCUACAAAAGAGUGAUUUCAGUGAGAUGACAGGCAGUAAACCCAGGGAUUAGAUCUGUUGGGCAACACGGCCCCGGGCCCCAGGGCGGGUUUCUGGAUGGUUCACUGGAGGCCGGAGCCCACGUGUCACAUGGAUCACGUUUGGAAGACACAGGGGUUGACUACAGUCAUACCUGUCCUAUGAGUCUGCACUGGCGGGUAGUGUGGUGCAUGGAGUAGAAAGGGUGCGCUGGGAAGAGUUGUUGGUUGUCCGUGAGUAGGACAAGUGUCCCUGAGUGAGACACCUAACCCCUGACCUCUCCUGGGCGCCUUUCUGGCAGCACACUGCUCCCACUGUGUGAGAUGGCUUAAAUGCAUAGGAGCAUUUUGUCGUCUCUGUACCUGUACUAUGUGCAAGGACAAAACGUUGAAUCAACUUCUUCUUCUUCAUCACCUAUUAAUGAUAUAAACUAUUAAACUGGGGAGAUACAUUCACGCACACAACUGAUGUGAAAAAGCUCACCUUCUCUGGAACGUUCUUGUCUAUGAAUGAAAGAUGUUGUGAUUGACUACUGGAGGCAGAAAGCAGUAGAAAGUUAUUGAUGCGACUGUACUUUUUGCUUUAUUUGUAUACAUGCUGUAUUAUCUCAAAACUGCCAGUGGAUAAAGGAAAAAGAAAGUCUCUCGUGAGAUUACGCAACUAAUAUUUGAAUCCUUUUGAUUUUUUGGUUUUAGUAAACUAUUUUUUCUUUUUUUGAAAGAAAUGUUUUCCACCAGUACCUGCAUUAACCACCACUGGAAGACCAGCUGUAUCCAUUUUAUAUAUAUAUAAUCCAAAAUGAAGUACUGUAAAUGUGAAGAUGGUGCAAUAAUAUUGGAAGAUUCAUGCUUUUGUCAACAAGGUAAGUCAGUGACUCAUUGUCUUUGGAUACGGCUGUGAAAGGGUUGGCGGUUACUUUGGCACGAUGUGUGUGCCUGUGAACAUAUUUCCUCUUUGUACAACUUGUUCGAGGUCUACAGUGGUAACCACAAAUAUAUACAGCGAUUUUUCAUAUCAUCAUAUGUUAUUAUUAUUGUCUAUUAAGGGUAAAAAAAAUUCCUACUAGAAUUAAUGAUUGAUCUUCUAUGACCGUAAUGGUUAACAAAGAUGGUCCAUUUAGAUGUGGGCCUACUGAACUGGGUUAUUGUGUGGAAACAAGUGUACGACCUUCACCUGAACGCCAACAAUGUUCACCUCCCACUACUGAUAAUGAAUUCCUUGACUUUGGCUGAAUAUAACCUGGUGUUUACAAGCUACAGCCCAGAGUGUCUCGGGGAGAAAUAUCAAACCUCUGUGAUUGAACGUGUUUACUUGUAGUCCCUCUAUCGGAGACCUUCAGUAUCUCCAAGGAGGCAAUGUGUAUUCACAGUAUUUCAACACAUUAUUACAGUAUUUCUGCAGAUUGCCUUUAGAUGAGUGCAUUGUAUUGUUAGCUUGCACACAUAAAGGUAGUCAAUGUAAAUAAAAUGAUGUGAAAUUGAACUGAUUAUUGUUAUUUUUUGUUUUCUGUUCUUGUAUGAACUUGUUAGGAACAGGACGAACCUCAGAUGUGAUUUUUAUGUGUUGAGAAAUGUGUUGUGUAAUCACUGCCAGCGUGCUGGAUUUGUCAUGGUCUUAGCGCCAAAGAGCCUCCAUAUUUGUUUGCCAUGCAAAAUUCUCUUUCUCCAUCUGUGGAAUGGGCAUUGGUUUCAGAGAUUUGGAUUCUUAUUUGAAUGUUUCCGUGUACCUUUCCAUUGAGAACCUCCUGUAAAGGAGAAAAUCCACCUACAGCCUUCGGUGAACUUGUUGAAAUUACCUGGUGAAAAUGCAAGACUUCACUUACGAAUACCAAUCCCUUUACUGAGCCAUGCAUUUUGAAAAAGACUGAUGACUAUGUCUUUACCAUACUUUUUUUCCAUUUGUUUCCGCCAUGUCUCGCUUAUUCGUGUAUACACAGAUAUACAGCCCUGCAUUAUUAGUUAUAUAAAAUACGCGUGGUGUAAUACCGCUCCCUAGUGUCCAAAUAUGCGAAUGGUUUGCAGAUUACAAUUGUUCUAGACGUGAAGAGCAAAGAAUAUUUGCAGAGAAAUCCACAAUUGGAGACAUUUUUAUCUCUCUAUAUACAUUACUUAAAGUAACAACGCAACCAAAUACUUGCAAGUAAAAGUCCUUCUUUCAAAAUGCUGCUGAAGAAAAAUGAAAUAAUUAUUAUCAGCUAGAUAGAUAGAUAAAGUAAUUGGCGGUAUUAUAAAAUGUCCCAUGUGACUGAUGUUAUUAGAGCAUUGUUGAAAUAUAACGACAACAGCAGGAUUGUACUGUUGAAGCUGGUCGAGUUGAAAGUAAUUUUAUGUACAGAAUGUGUCAGAAUAUCAACAUAUGGGUUCUUUAUGUGAAAUAUGUUUUUGAGUUUAGAGGGUAAAUUCUCCUGUGGCUGAAUUGUUGCAAGGAUCCUCAAUUUCAGAGGUCACCGACCAAAUAGACUGGGAAACGUCUCAAUUUUAAAUAAGCUUUUUUUUAUAAAUCACAUACAAUGUUAGUCAUCAGUCAGUCAUCUUCUAUCCCGCUUUAUCCUUAAAAGGGUUGCGCUGGGCUGGAGUCAAUCUCAGCGAGGGACGGGGUGCACCCUCAAUCGCAGGGCUGAUAUGGAGACAGAUUAUCAUUCACUCAUUCAAAAAGGUGCUGGGCAGGUUUUAACCCAGGACCUUCUUGCUGUGAGGCGCCGGUGCUGACCCACACAUCACCAUACCGCCAUAUACAAUGAUCCUUUCUUAAAUGCAGUGGAGUGGAAGAUAGAAAUACUCUCAACGUACACAAGACUAAAAGAAAUCACUUUCCAAUAGUACUUGUGAAGGACAACAUUUUAACUUUGUUGUUAAUGAUUUUUAUAAACUUACAAGAUGUUUCAUAUCAAGGCUUUUAAAGUAAAAGUAUACUGUUAUUGUACUAUUGAAAUGACUAUGUUUAUAUAGUUGUAUGCACUUCCUUGUGAGGUCAAGCAACAACCACUAGGUAGCAUUACAGAGCUCCCAAUCACCCAAUCGCUGCUUUUCGAUUAUCCAGGUUUACAGCUAACAGGCUUCUAGCUUCACUCAUGCAAGUCCAGCAUUUCAAACUAUUUCGUCCUUUUAGUCUAAAUUGUAUCAUGCAUCGGCCUUCUAAUGACUUGUUUCUAACUGCAUUAGAAGAAAAGGUCCACAAGAACAGAGUGUCACUGCUCAUCUAACAACAGAUCCCAAUUCAAGACUGCAGUCUUAAUUUCAUUGUGGGACACAUAACAGUCAAGAAGCCGAGGGGUCUUUCAAAGUCAUCCAAAGAUCUCACCCAAUCAGAUCUCUGUGUGUUGGAUACCUUCUGCCCAGCUAAGGGAGGGGG